ensembl:lncRNA
CACAUACACACAAGGGAACACAAGACAAGGCACUGAAAGUAGUUCAACCAGUGCAAUUGAAAGACACUUUUCUGUUUAAUCGUAUUUAUAAACAGCUUGAAAACAUUUGGUUGGCAGAAAGCAAGAGAGCCGAAUGGAGAGAAUCCGAUAGAAUACAGGAAGAUAGAGAGAUAUACUGUGUUUGCUUGCGUCUGUAUGUGAGGAGGGGGGGCGGGGAGUGACAGGAAUGAGUCAAAGUAAGAAGUUGCGAGGACGACUGACCAGGAGGAUGGAUGGAGGACAGAGGGGGGGUCAGCGUUAGGGUUAGGCUUAGGGUCAUGGUUAGGGUUAGGGGAAAAAAGAGUCAGGGUUAGGGGUUAGGGGUUUUGGGUCAAGAUAAGGGGUUAGGAUUUGGGGUUAGGGUCAGGGUUAGGGUUAAGUUCAGGGUUCAGGGUUUAGGGUUAAGGUUAGGGUCAGGGUUAGGGUUAGGGUUAAGGUUAGGGGUUAGGGGUUAGGGUCAGGGUUAGGGUGGGGGUUAGGGUCAGGGAUAGGGCCAGGGGGGAUAGGGUUGGGGUUAGGGUUAGUCAAACAGUGCACAGUUUGUCUGGGGUGAGUCAGUGAAAGGGAAAGAAAUAUAAAAGGAAAGAAAGAAAAAGAGAAACAAUGUCAAUAAAGAAGAGAGGCAGCCCCGCUCUGCACCACAGUGAGGACAUUUCUCCCGUGUUAGUUUUUUUUUCUGCCUUUUUUGUUUCAUUUGAAUUACAAAAGCCCCCCCCCCACAAGAACAACAGGUCCCGAGUCAAAGAGCAUCACCCCGGUGUGCAGGGGUUAGGGUUAGGGUUAGGGGUUAGGGUCUGCAGGGGUGGUCGGCGGCCCCCGGGCUACAGACCACCGCAUGAGAUCCCGGCCGCUGCAUGGAGUACAGACCACCUCAUGAGUUGGUCUGUCUGGAGUACAGACCACCUCAUGAGGUCCAGGCCGCUGCAUGGAGUACAGACCACCUCAUGAGUUGGUCUGUCUGGAGUACAGACCACCUCAUGAGGUCCAGGCCACUGCAUGGAGUACAGACCACCUCAUGAGUUGGUCUGUCUGGAGUACAGACCACCUCAUGAGUUGGUCUGUCUGGAGUACAGACCACCUCAUGAGGUCCAGGCCACUGCAUGGAGUACAGACCCAACUUUGUGUUUGUAUAAAUACAUUUCUACAUUGAGUUGCUUCAAGUCAAGUCGUGAUCAUAGUUUUUAAAUAUAUAUAAUAUUCAUACAGAUAUAUAGUUAUAUCUAGAUCUAUAUUAUUAUCUUAUAUAGAUAUAUUUAGAUAUAUUAUCUUAUAU